CUCCCAAGUGCUGGGAUUACGGGCGUGUGCCACCACACCCAGUCUAAAAUGCCUAUUUUUAAAAAAGGGUUGAGAAAAGAACAUGAUACAGAUCAGUUUAUCCUAUGAACAAAUUCUCCUUAUAUAUUACUGCAGUGAUACAAACAGUUGCAUAAACAACCAGGUACAAAGUAAUCUGAAAAUUUUUUUCUUGGAGUUUAUAACAAUUGUUUGGAGGUCCCGCGGAAGCAGAAACAAGAGUCUGGACCAGCUCUGGGUGCUGCAGGUGCCAGUACAGUUUCUUCACUGCUUACCUGUGCCUGGCCACCCCUGGGCAGGGCCAGUUUUACAUUUCAACGAACCCUUGUUUAAGGAAGAAAAUAAAAUCCCGUAACCAGCAGAGAGAUUACUUACAGGAAAUGCAAGUUAAAGGCAAAGCAAAUUAUUUCUUUUUUUAAAAUCAGCUUUCUUGGGAGAUGUUUAAAAAUGUGUGUCCUGUUUUUGUGUUUUCCCUACGGUUCUGCAUCUUACUCAUAACUGAACAAGCCCGAGGCAGCGCUGUGUUCUCCGCGCGGGGGACUGAAGGCUCGCGCGGGCGCGGGCUCCGAGUCAGCUGAAAGCCAAGCGUCCCGCGAGUCGGUCCCGGUCAUCUCGGUCCCCACGUGUUCUGGUCUGCCUUUCUCUCUUCCCGAAAAGGAGGGACCAGCGGGCAGCGGGCAGAGCUUCUUUCUGGGUGGGUGAGGACGGCAGCCGGGUCCGUGUCCGUCCGCCGGAUGCCGUUUGCGGACGCGCUUUCCAGACGUGGAGGUGCCGGCGCGGGAGAGCAGGAACCGCGGGCUCUGAGGGAAAGACGCUGGCCCCUCACAGGCACCUCCGCGCCCCGCCCCCCGAGCUCCGCCCCAGCGCUCUCCCGGAGACGCCCUGCCUCUUCCGCGCCCGCCUCGCACAGACAGCGCGGCCCGUCUCAUCCGUGCUCGCCUCCCCGCCCUGGCUUCCGCCGCAGCCUGCGCCUCUGUCGCAGGAAGUCGCGCCUCGGCCGGCCCGGUGGCCCCGUAAGAGGAGGUGGCCAGGUACCAGUGCCGCCCGCCCGGCCCCGCCUGGCCGUGCUCGUGCUCGUGGACUCUACUCGUUUCCCGAAGGGCUAUGAGGUGAAUGGGCGUAUCACUAUGUGUCGAAGGAAACAUUUGACAGCCUCAUACAUAGUCACAGGUAAGACUCAGAAGCUAAUUUUUUUUUUUUUAACCGACUGCGGGUUUUUAUUCAGUCUGUGAAGAACAGUUUAAAAUGAAAUGUUAGUACACUCAACAUCAGCUUUUCGUUUGACAUGCUCUGUUAUUACAAAAAUCAGAAGUCAUUACAGUAUUUGCACAGUGUAACCACUA
rnacentral:lncRNA from 1 species